AAUUCCAUCAUCUCUGUCAUUCUGUGUCUGCUGCUACUAACUCAUUUUUCUGUUUGUUCUGGAUCAUAUUUCCUGCCCUUCUCCCUGAUUAUGGAAGUAAAAACAUGGCCACCAAUUUCCCUCUUUGGGAAUCUGGGCUGGCUUUGAUCAUUUGCUUGAUUAUAGAAUGUGGCAGAAGUGUGUUCUGAAAUUUUGAGGUUACAUUAGAGGAAGCCUUGCAGCAAAGUUCCACCUGAGACUAGCAUUCAGCCAUCCUUAUCAAGGCAGCAGACAAGUGAAUAAUGCCAUCUUGGACUCUCCAGAAAAGCCCAUUUGUCAUCUGAAUACCAUGCAAUACUGUAAACCUUGAAUAACACCAUGGGAUCUAUACAAAGUGCCAUUAGUGUUGCUGAAAGUGCUCCCAAGAAGCAGAGAAAAAUCAUGACAGGAAAAAGUUGAACUGCUUGAUGUUUACCAUAGAUGGAGGUCUGCAGCUGCGAUUGCCUGCCAUUUCAAGAUAAAUGAAUCUAGUGCAAGGCCCAUUGUUAAAAAAGAAAGAAAAUUCAUGAGGCUGUCACUGCAGCUACACCAGCAGAUACAAAUUUCCCACCAUUCUGGAUUCUGACACCCAACAGAAAGACUGUUAUUUGGCAUCAUGUGAAUUAGCCAGGAGACCUCUAAUUUCCAGCCAUUUCCUCUGGUCUGACCCCUAAACUCAGCUCAUCUGGUUUCUCGUUUCUGAGGGGACAAACACUUCCUAAAAGGCAGACCCUCUGGGGUUCUGAGGAGACCGUCCCUGACAUUGUUUUUACUUCAAGACUACAAGCGAAUGAAAAACAGCUACCUCUCACAAGAGGGCUGGAGCCCUUGAUACAGAACAGAUCUCCAAC
rnacentral:lncRNA from 1 species